rnacentral:rRNA from 1 species
UGCAGUCGAGCGGUAACAGGAGUAGCUUGCUACUCGCUGACGAGCGGCGGACGGGUGAGUAACGCGUAGGAAUCUGCCUAAUAGUUGGGGAUAGCCCGGGGAAACCCGGAUUAAUACCGAAUACGCUCUACGGAGGAAAGCAGGGGAUCUUCGGACCUUGCGCUAUUAGAUGAGCCUGCGUGAGAUUAGCUAGUUGGUGAGGUAAAGGCUCACCAAGGCGACGAUCUCUAGCUGGUCUGAGAGGAUGAUCAGCCACACUGGGACUGAGACACGGCCCAGACUCCUACGGGAGGCAGCAGUGGGGAAUAUUGCACAAUGGGCGCAAGCCUGAUGCAGCCAUACCGCGUGUGUGAAGAAGGCCUUAGGGUUGUAAAGCACUUUCAGUCGUGAGGAAAGGUUAGUAGUUAAUACCUGCUAGCUGUGACGUUAGCGACAGAAGAAGCACCGGCUAAUUCCGUGCCAGCAGCCGCGGUAAUACGGAAGGUGCGAGCGUUAAUCGGAAUUACUGGGCGUAAAGCGCGCGUAGGUGGUUCAGUCAGUCAGAUGUGAAAGCCCCGGGCUCAACCUGGGAACUGCACCUGAUACUGCUGGACUUGAGUACGGUAGAGGGUAGUGGAAUUUCCUGUGUAGCGGUGAAAUGCGUAGAUAUAGGAAGGAACACCAGUGGCGAAGGCGACUACCUGGACCGAUACUGACACUGAGGUGCGAAAGCGUGGGGAGCAAACAGGAUUAGAUACCCUGGUAGUCCACGCCGUAAACGAUGUCUACUAGCCGUUGGGGGACUUGAUCCUUUAGUGGCGCAGCUAACGCGAUAAGUAGACCGCCUGGGGAGUACGGCCGCAAGGUUAAAACUCAA